UUAACAGGAAAAACUUUAAAAACAUUUACUGAGGUGGUCCGUUCUAUAAACCGUUUAAGAAGGACUCCUGCAGACAGCUGCGCAGUGAGGGGAUUUGUGAGGGAUCUGAAAGCUGCGGAGGUUGGGGGCUGCGGCUGCGCGUCGGCUCAGGGCAGCACACAGGUGUGAGCGCGCCUGAGUGCAGUUCCCUGCAGCUUCUCCCCUCGGUCAUUACUAUAAAUGACAGUGUGCACUUAGUCAAGCAGCCUGGUUAAAUAAGGAUUAGAAGGAUGGGGAGAAAAUAACUUCACACUUUUGAGAGCAGCAAAUGGUGUUUGCAAAGAACGCAGCUGAAAGCGGAGAGAGGCAGGGGAGAGCUGGGCUCUGCCUGCAAGUAACCCGACGCACGCCGCCUUCCCUCGUUUUGUUUUCCUCUUCCGCAUCUGAACCAGACCUGCAGACACCUUCGCCGAAGCGCUGGAACAAAGACGAAGGAGGGCAUGAAGGAUCGCAUGUGGAAAAUAUUUCUGUUAAAGCCCAUCUCUGAGACAAACAUGAGCCCUGCUGCUCCCUCUCCACCCUUCACCACCACCCUCCCUCCCUCAUGCUUCUCGUUUGGUUGGAGCAUCAAACGACCCUGCCGUCUGAAAAUAGCGCGUCGACAUUUCUGUUUCGUCUUGUCGUUUCCUUUUUUCCUCCUUUUUAUUCUCGACAAUGUUGCCAGUUUGCUAGACUCCUGUUUCUUCUCAUGCCUCCUGCCUUCUUGAUCUGUGAGAGGUUACAGCGCAGAGUGCCUCAGAAGUGCGCGUGUGUGUGCGAGUGCAAGUGUGUGUGGCGUAGGAGAGCUUUGGUGGUCUAUAAAAAGCAGCCAGACAAAGUCUUCCCCCUCUCUUCAUGCAUUAUGCAUCGGCAUCACCUUCCAUCAAUUGGCAGAAAAACCUCAAAGAUGUCUAACUUUAGCUUCCACUCUGAAAGCCAAACAGAGGAGAAGAUGUGGUAUUUUGACUGCCACAGUCGAGCUAAGCACCUGUUACAUCAAUAAAAGCUGCGUUUCGCAACAAGACGGCGGCAACAUGUGCGAUGGAAGAUGAAGAAAAAGAAGCACUUAAAUGCGGAGAGUGGAGAAAGGGAGCAACAACAAACCUGAGCUGGAUGAAAGAUAAAAUAAAAAAAAACAAGCAUGUUUUCAGAGUUUCAGCUUCACCGCCAGCCUGGCUGCUGGUUCCAGGUCAAUAUGACAGGUCAGCAUGGGACUAUGUAAAGGGAGGUUCAGGUGGCAGCGGUGGCACUAAGCCAUGUGCACCGUCAUUCACCGCACGUCCGCCUUCCAGGAGCAGCAGGCAGCACCCAGGGGCGACCCAAACAGCCCCACCCGCAGCUCUGUGGGGCUGCAGUAAACAAGCGCUCCCCUCUCAGCAGAAAGGCUGUGAUGGUCUGCUCUGCUCCAGGACUGUGAACGUGUUUAUUUGUUUAUUUACCUUUCUGGCUGCCUCCACUCUGAUGAUCUCCUGAUGGAAGCCGUGGAAAUUCAGCAAUCCGCUUCAAUAAAAAUUACUAAUUUUU